AGUCGGGACUUUUGACCAUUUGAUUUUAUUUUGAGACACAAAUUAUAUAUGAAAUUGAUGGCAUUGAACACUUAGGGAAAAUUGGGACCACAAUUCAUAAAAUUGGGAUUAAAAAUCUUGUGCAAAAAGGGCCAUGUGGCCGUGUGAAUUUAAAGGGGUCCCCACAUUGUGUGGCCAAAUUUAAUUGGUCCAACACAUGUGUGGACCAUAGGGACAUGGAGAUAUUUUAGUGGGAACUUAAAAAUAUGACCUCUAAGUCAUUUCUCUUCAUUUCUACACUUAGAAUAAAAAUUAAGAAGGAGGAGAACAACAACUCCAACCUCACGGCUAAGAGGAGAGAAAAACAAGAUCAUCUUUUUAGCUCCUCUAAAAUUAUUCCAUUGAUGUAAACCCACUAUAUUGAGGUCCCUAAGUAGCGUGGAAGCAUCGUUGGAGCGAUCAACCCAUUAUUUUCAUCUUUUGGAAACCCUAGGCUAUUGGAAAGUUGAAGAAGGAAGAUCGUGGGCAGCCCGAAUCAUAGUUUGGACUUAGCUUGAGUUGGAUCAUAUUGGAGAGCGUUUGAGGUACAGACGCACAGCCUGGUGAUCCACCUGUUUAGGACACCCUUUCUGCUAUUCGGAGUGCUCCUCUCUUUCCGGAGCUUAUACUUUUGGUAUAUAUAUUUAUUAGUGCAUUUGUAUAUAUUCGUUCAUGGGUACGGCGGGGCCCUGUCCCGUCAUAUGAUUCUGUCGGUCUGUUUAGAGGUCUGUGGACAUGUUUGUGGG